rnacentral:rRNA from 1 species
GACGAACGCUGGCGGCGUGCCUAACACAUGCAAGUCGAACGGAAGUAAGAGCUUCGGUUUUACUUUAGUGGCGAACGGGUGAGUAACGCGUGAGGAACCUGCCUUUCAGUGGGGGACAACAGUUGGAAACGACUGCUAAUACCGCAUAAUGUUUCCGAUCCGCAUGGAUUGGAAACCAAAGCUUUAUGUGCUGAAAGAUGGCCUCGCGUCUGAUUAGAUAGUUGGUAGGGUAACGGCCUACCAAGUCACGAUCAGUAGCCGGUCUGAGAGGAUGAACGGCCACAUUGGGACUGAGAUACGGCCCAG